GAUGAACGCUGGCGGCGUGCCUAAUACAUGCAAGUCGAGCGAACAGACGAGGAGCUUGCUCCUCUGACGUUAGCGGCGGACGGGUGAGUAACACGUGGAUAACCUACCUAUAAGACUGGGAUAACUUCGGGAAACCGGAGCUAAUACCGGAUAACAUGUUGAACCGCAUGGUUCAACAGUGAAAGACGGUUUUGCUGUCACUUAUAGAUGGAUCCGCGCCGCAUUAGCUAGUUGGUAAGGUAACGGCUUACCAAGGCAACGAUGCGUAGCCGACCUGAGAGGGUGAUCGGCCACACUGGAACUGAGACACGGUCCAGACUCCUACGGGAGGCAGCAGUAGGGAAUCUUCCGCAAUGGGCGAAAGCCUGACGGAGCAACGCCGCGUGAGUGAAGAAGGUCUUCGGAUCGUAAAACUCUGUUAUUAGGGAAGAACAAAUGUGUAAGUAACUAUGCACGUCUUGACGGUACCUAAUCAGAAAGCCACGGCUAACUACG
rnacentral:rRNA from 1 species